CUGCCGUGGGCGCUGGAGAACUGAGGGGGGCUGCUCCUAGUACGAGAGGACCGGAGUGGACGCAUCACUGGUGUUCGGGUUGUCAUGCCAAUGGCACUGCCCGGUAGCUAAAUGCGGAAGAGAUAAGUGCUGAAAGCAUCUAAGCACGAAACUUGCCCCGAGAUGAGUUCUCCCUGAGACUUUAGGUCUCCUGAAGGAACGUUGAAGACGACGACGUUGAUAGGCCGGGUGUGUAAGCGCAGCGAUGCGUUGAGCUAACCGGUACUAAUGAACCGUGAGGCUUAACCUUACAACGCCGAAG
rnacentral:rRNA from 2 species